rnacentral:rRNA from 1 species
UACGUAGGGUGCAAGCGUUGUCCGGAAUUAUUGGGCGUAAAGAGCUCGUAGGCGGUCUGUCGCGUCUGCUGUGAAAACUCGGGGCUUAACCCCGGGCCUGCAGUGGGUACGGGCAGACUAGAGUGCGGUAGGGGAGACUGGAAUUCCUGGUGUAGCGGUGGAAUGCGCAGAUAUCAGGAGGAACACCGGUGGCGAAGGCGGGUCUCUGGGCAGUAACUGACGCUGAGGCACGAAGGCCAGGGGAGCAAACGGG